GUGUAGGUAGCUCAAUUGGUAGAGCCUCUCCUUGUGACGGAGAUGGUUGCAGAUUCGAAUUCUGUCCUACACCCCA
rnacentral:tRNA from 1 species